rnacentral:rRNA from 1 species
AUGGGAGCCGGAAUUACCGCCGGCGCCACCGCCCGCCUCGUCGUCGUUCCGCUCCUGCUGCUACCCCUACUCCUCGCGCGCGGCGCCGAGGCUGUCAGCCUCUGGCGGCCGCCGCCGGAGGCCGGGCUCCUGGGCUCCGCCCCAGGCAGGUUCCUGACGCAGGAGGAGCACUGGAUGAGCCAAACCCUCGACCACUUCUCCCCCACCGAUCAUCGGCAAUUCAAGCAGCGGUACUACGAAUUUCUCGAUUACCACCGAGCUCCAAAUGGCCCGGUCUUCUUAAAUAUAUGUGGAGAAGCUUCAUGCAGUGGGAUUUCUAACAACUACUUAGCUGUGAUGGCCAAGAAGUUUGGCGCUGCUUUGGUUUCUCCCGAGCAUCGAUACUAUGGGAAGAGUUCCCCUUUUGAGGAUUUGACGACAGAAAAUCUAAGGUUCUUGUCAUCAAAGCAGGCUUUAUCAGACCUGGCUGUUUUCCGCCAGUAUUAUCAGGAAACAUUAAAUGCCAAGUAUAAUCGCUCAGGAGCAGACAAUUCUUGGUUUGUGUUUGGAGGGUCGUACUCUGGAGCUCUCAGUGCUUGGUUCAGAUUGAAAUUUCCUCACUUAACAUGUGGAAGUCUUGCAAGUUCAGGGGUUGUUCUUGCUGUUUACAACUUUACUGACUUCGACAAACAGAUUGGGGAGUCAGCUGGUCCAGAAUGCAAAGGAGCACUUCAAGAAGUAACAAGACUUGUUGAUGGACAACUUCAGUCUGGCCACAACUCGGUUAAAGAACUGUUUGGAGCAAAAAUGUUAGAAAAUGAUGGUGACUUCCUUUACCUACUAGCAGACGCUGCAGCUAUUGCGUUCCAAUAUGGCAACCCUGAUGUUUUGUGCUCCCCACUAGUUGAAGCAAAGAAGAAUGGUACGGAUUUGGUGGAAGCAUUUGCUCAUUACGUGAACGACUAUUAUGUUGGGACAUUUAGGGCACCAGUUGCAUCAUAUGAUCAGAACUAUUUGAAGAACACAACCCCUGCUGAAUCUUCAUAUCGAUUGUGGUGGUAUCAAGUUUGCAGUGAGGUUGCAUAUUUCCAAGUGGCGCCAAAAAAUGAUAGCGUCCGUUCUGCAAAGAUUGAUACAAGGUAUCAUUUAGACUUGUGCAAAAAUGUUUUUGGGGAAGGAGUUUAUCCUGAUGUGUCCAUGACAAACUUAUACUAUGGAGGCACAAGAAUUGCAGGUUCUAAAAUUGUUUUUGCAAAUGGCUCUCAAGACCCAUGGCGCCAUGCUUCCAAGCAGAAAUCAUCGGAAGAACUGCCAUCAUACUUAAUUGAGUGCAGCAACUGUGGGCAUUGCACUGAUAUCUCCGGAUGCCCUCAAGCACCCUCAAAUAUUGGAGGUGAUUCAUCCAAAUGCUCAUCUCCAGAAGCAGUGAACAAAGUAAGGAAGCAGAUCGUCGAUCACAUCGACCUGUGGUUGUCAGAGUGCCAAGACCAAGGACACGGCGCGGUGACGAAGCGGGGGAGCAGAUGGAGCAUAGCCACCUACUGA